GAUGAAGAACGCAGUGAAAUGCGAUAAGUAGUGUGAAUUGCAGAAUUCAGUGAAUCAUCGAAUCUUUGAACGCACAUUGCGCCCCUUGGUAUUCCAUGGGGCAUGCCUGUUCGAGCGUCAUUUGUACCUUCAAGCUCUGCUUGGUGUUGGGUGUUUGUCUCGCCUCUGCGUGUAGACUCGCCUCAAAACAAUUGGCAGCUGGCGUAUUGAUUUCGGAGCGCAGUACAUCUCGCGCUUUGCACUCAUAACGACGACGUCCAAAAGUACAUUUUUACACUCUUGACCUCGGAUCAGGUAGGGAUACCCGCUGAACUUAAGCAUAUCAAUAAGCGGAGGA
rnacentral:misc_RNA from 1 species